rnacentral:rRNA from 1 species
CAGCCGCCGCGGGAAUACGGAGGGUGCAAGCGUUAAUCGGAAUUACUGGGCGUAAAGCGCACGCAGGCGGUCUGACAAGUCAGAUGUGAAAUCCCCGGGCUUAACCUGGGAACUGCAUUUGAAACUGUCAGGCUGGAGUCUUGUAGAGGGGGGUGAAUUCCAGGUGUAGCGGUGAAAUGCGUAGAGAUCUGGAGGAAUACCGGUGGCGAAGGCGGCCCCCUGGACAAAGACUGACGCUCAGGUGCGAAAGCGUGGGGAGCAAACAGGAUUAGAGACCCCAGUAGUCCCUGUCUCUUAUACA